rnacentral:rRNA from 1 species
GACGAACGCUGGCGGCGUGCUUAACACAUGCAAGUCGAACGGUGAAGGGACCGGUUUUUGCUGGUUCUGGAUGAGUGGCGAACGGGUGAGUAACACGUGAGUAACCUGCCCCCUUCUUCUGGAUAACCGCAUGAAAGUGUGGCUAAUACGGGAUAUUCUGCGCCUGCUGCAUGGUGGGUGUGGGAAAGAUAUUGUUUCGGUGGGGGAUGGGCUCGCGGCCUAUCAGCUUGUUGGUGGGGUGAUGGCCUACCAAGGCGGUGACGGGUAGCCGGCCUGAGAGGGUGGACGGUCACACUGGGACUGAGACACGGCCCAGACUCCUACGGGAGGCAGCAGUGGGGAAUAUUGCACAAUGGGCGCAAGCCUGAUGCAGCGACGCCGCGUGAGGGAUGGAGGCCUUCGGGUUGUAAACCUCUUUCGCCAGUGAAGCAGGCCUGCCCCUUUUGUGGGUGGGUUGACGGUAGCUGGAUAAGAAGCGCCGGCUAACUACGUG